rnacentral:rRNA from 1 species
GAGUUUGAUCCUGGCUCAGGACGAACGCUGGCGGCGUGCCUAAUACAUGCAAGUCGAACGAACUUCUUUAGAGCUUGCUUUAAAGAAGUUAGCGGCGGACGGGUGAGUAACACGUGGGCAACCUGCCUGUAAGACUGGGAUAACUUCGGGAAACCGGAGCUAAUACCGGAUAAUAUAUAGUACCUCCUGGUACUAUAUUGAAAGUUGGUUUCGGCUAACACUUACAGAUGGGCCCGCGGCGCAUUAGCUAGUUGGUGAGGUAACGGCUCACCAAGGCAACGAUGCGUAGCCGACCUGAGAGGGUGAUCGGCCACACUGGGACUGAGACACGGCCCAGACUCCUACGGGAGGCUGCAGUAGGGAAUCUUCCACAAUGGACGAAAGUCUGAUGGAGCAACGCCGCGUGAGCGAUGAAGGCCUUCGGGUCGUAAAGCUCUGUUGUUAGGGAAGAACAAGUGCGAGAGUAACUGCUCGCACCUUGACGGUACCUAACCAGAAAGCCACGGCUAACUACGUGCCAGCAGCCGCGGUAAUACGUAGGUGGCAAGCGUUGUCCGGAAUUAUUGGGCGUAAAGCGCGCGCAGGCGGUUUCUUAAGUCUGAUGUGAAAGCCCACGGCUCAACCGUGGAGGGUCAUUGGAAACUGGGAGACUUGAGUGCAGAAGAGGAGAGUGGAAUUCCACGUGUAGCGGUGAAAUGCGUAGAGAUGUGGAGGAACACCAGUGGCGAAGGCGACUCUCUGGUCUGUAACUGACGCUGAGGCGCGAAAGCGUGGGGAGCAAACAGGAUUAGAUACCCUGGUAGUCCACGCCGUAAACGAUGAGUGCUAAGUGUUAGAGGGUUUCCGCCCUUUAGUGCUGCAGCUAACGCAUUAAGCACUCCGCCUGGGGAGUACGGUCGCAAGACUGAAACUCAAAGGAAUUGACGGGGGCCCGCACAAGCGUGAGCAUG